GGACGCCGAAGGUGGGGCUAAUGACUGGGGUGAAGUCGUAACAAGGUAGCCGUACCGGAAGGUGCGGCUGGAUCACCUCCUAACAGGGAGACAACAAAAUGUUUAAUAUUAUUAUUUUGUCACCUUAGGUCGAUCGGUAUCUCACGUUCUUAAUUUAUUAAGAAUUUCAUUUCCUAAGUUUUUCUAGGUCACACCCAUUAUUUUUCCUGGGCCAUUAGCUCAGGUGGUUAGAGCGCACCCCUGAUAAGGGUGAGGUCCCUGGUUCAAGUCCAGGAUGGCCCAUAUCUCUAUGUUGGGGGUAUAGCUCAGUUGGUAGAGCGCCUGCUUUGCAAGCAGGAUGUCAGCGGUUCGAGUCCGCUUACCUCCACUGAUUACCACCUCUUCCAUAACCGGUAGUAAAGGAAAUGUUUUGAGUUGUGAUCAAAUUCUGAAAGAAUCUAGCUUCCUAAUUAAAUCAUUAAGAUGCUGGACUCAUUGAAUUAAUUUCAUUGUUUUCAGAGAACCUUGACAACUGCAUAGAUUAUUUUUAAAGACAAUAAGCAUCUUUAAUGAUGCAGAUUUAUUAUUUGUGCGAAUGCAUUAAUAACAAUUCUAUUAAGCUGAUGCUUCAAUUUUUGAAGUUAUUGGUCAAGCUACAAAGGGCUCACGGAGGAUACCUAGGC
rnacentral:misc_RNA from 1 species